rnacentral:rRNA from 1 species
CAAUAGCGUAUAUUAAUGUUGUUGCAGUUAAAAAGCUCGUAGUUGGAUUUCUGGUGGGAGCGGUUGGUCUGCCCCGCGAGGGGUAGUUACUGAGCCGUAUCCGGCCCUUUUCGGGUUGACCGUGGCUGGCAUUAAUUUGUCGGUGCGGGAGGCCCGUCGUUUACUGUGAACAAAUUAGAGUGUUCAAAGCAGGGUGUUCUUGAAUACAUUAGCAUGGAAUAAUGAGAUAGGACUUUGGUGGUUCUCACUUUAUGUGGGAUAUUUUGUUGGUUUGCACGCCAAAGUAAUGAUUAAUAGGAGCAGUUGGGGGUAUUCGUAUUCAAUUGUCAGAGGUGAAAUUCUUGGAUUUCUAGAAGACGAACUACUGCGAAAGCAUUUACCAAGGAUGUUUUCAUUAA